rnacentral:rRNA from 1 species
AAUCAACGCUGGCGGCGUGCCUCAGACAUGCAAGUCGAACGCGAAAGUUUCCUUCGGGAGAUGAGUAGAGUGGCGCACAGGUGAGUAACACGUGAGUAAUUUACCUUCGGGUGGGGAUACUAACCGGAACGGUUGUUAAUACCGCAUAAUGCAGCGGCAUCAAUGAUGACAGUUGUUAAAGCGGGGGAUUGGAGCAAUCCGACCUCGCGCCUGAAGAGAAGCNCGCGGCAGAUUAGCUAGUUGGUAAGGUAAUGGCUUACCAAGGCGACGAUCUGUAACCGGCCUGAGAGGGCGGUCGGUCACACUGACACGUAGAA